rnacentral:rRNA from 1 species
GUUUGAUCCUGGCUCAGAUUGAACGCUGGCGGCAGGCCUAACACAUGCAAGUCGAGCGGUAGAGAGAGCAAGCUUGCUUCUCUUGAGAGCGGCGGACGGGUGAGUAAUGCCUAGGAAUCUGCCUGGUAGUGGGGGAUAACGUUCGGAAACGGACGCUAAUACCGCAUACGUCCUACGGGAGAAAGCAGGGGACCUUCGGGCCUUGCGCUAUCAGAUGUGCCUAGGUCGGAUUACCUAGUUGGUGAGGUAAUGGCUCACCAAGGCGACGAUCCGUAACUGGUCUGAGAGGAUGAUCAGUCACACUGGAACUGGGACACGGUCCAGACUCCUACGGGAGGCAGCAGUGGGGAAAAUUGGACAAUGGGCGAAAGCCUGAUCCAGCCAUGCCGCGUGUGUGAAGAAGGUCUUCGGAUUGUAAAGCACUUUAAGUUGGGAGGAAGGGCAGUUACCUAAUACGUGAUUGUUUUGACGUUACCGACAGAAUAAGCACCGGCUAACUCUGUGCCAGCAGCCGAGGUAAUACAGACGGUGCAAGCGUUAAUCGGAAUUACUGGGCGUAAAGCGCGCGUAGGUGGUUAGUUAAGUUGGAUGUUAAAUCCCCGGGACCUGGGAACUGCAUUCAAAAC